CAGAGUUCAUGCCCUUCGGGGUAGAUCUCCACCCUAUGUAUUUAUACUCUUGUUGCUUUGGCAGGCCGUCGGGCUCCGGCCUGGCCACCGGCUCCUCGCUGGUGCGCGCCUGCCAGAGGCCUUCAAACUCUGAAUGUUAGUGUCGUCUGAGUACUAUAUAAUAGUUA
rnacentral:misc_RNA from 1 species